rnacentral:lncRNA from 1 species
AUUUGAUGGUCUUUCAACAAUCUGCUCAGCUACAUUUGCUGAUCUUCUGGGGCACCUAUUUUGUACAUUAUGUGUAAUAGCACUUCUGAAAACAUAGCUGAGGUUGCCUUAUAUUUCAUUUUCUUGUUUUAGGUAAAUAUCCUCUGUUCUUUCUUCUAGAUAUGUUUCCAGACACUUGGCAAUCUCCUGAGCUUCUAAAUUGGAGUGGUCAUGUUCUCCAUUGCCCUGAUUGUUCGUUGGGAAUCAAUGGAAGAUUUUGCCUGAUAUCCAUUUGCAUUAGAGAGAUUCUGCCAACACCUGUGACCCAUGUGAAAUAUUGACAGGUAAAUUCAAGAACAAACAACCUAUUUAAUUCAAGUAGAAUAGAAUGACUUUCUUCAUAUUUUCUGAAUUCUCUCUCUCUCUUUUUUUUAUUUUUUUUAAUAAAAAAAAAAGAUAAUGUAUUUUAGAUAUUGCU